CCUACGGGAGCUGCAGUGGGGAAUAUUGGACAAUGGGCGAAAGCCUGAUCCAGCCAUGCCGCGUGUGUGAAGAAGGCCUUCGGGUUGUAAAGCACUUUCAGUGGGGAAGAAAGCCUUGGGGCUAAUACCCUCGAGGAAGGACAUCACCCACAGAAGAAGCACCGGCUAACUCCGUGCCAGCAGCCGCGGUAAUACGGAGGGUGCGAGCGUUAAUCGGAAUUACUGGGCGUAAAGCGCGCGUAGGCGGUCUGAUAAGCCGGUUGUGAAAGCCCCGGGCUCAACCUGGGAACGGCAUCCGGAACUGUCAGGCUAGAGUGCAGGAGAGGAAGGUAGAAUUCCCGGUGUAGCGGUGAAAUGCGUAGAGAUCGGGAGGAAUACCAGUGGCGAAGGCGGCCUUCUGGACUGACACUGACGCUGAGGUGCGAAAGCGUGGGUAGCAAACAGGAUUAGAUACCCGGGUAGU
rnacentral:rRNA from 1 species